rnacentral:misc_RNA from 1 species
GUCAACCUUUGCCACUUUCUUUGCCCUCCACUCCUUUUCCUGUUCUUCAUAAUGGUCCAGCUCAAUAUCGUGCAGCUCGUGCUCAACAUGGACGGGAAUUUGGAAAGUGGUUCUUUUAGGUAACGGUGGAGUUACAGAGGGACUCUGGGCAUUUUGAGCGGUUUGAUAAUUCUGUGGGUAAGUCUGAGGAUUGGUAUUAUGAUUUAAGUGGUGGUGAGGUGUUUGAGGAUUGAAA